UACGUAGGGGCCAAGCGUUGUCCGGAUUUAUUGGGCGUAAAGAGCUCGUAGGCGGUUCGGCAAGUCAGCUGUGAAAUCUCCACGCUCAACGUGGAGGGGUCAGCUGAUACUGCUGUGACUUGAGUCCGGUAGGGGAGUGUGGAAUUCCCGGUGUAGCGGUGAAAUGCGCAGAUAUCAGGAGGAACACCGGUGGCGAAGGCGGGUCUCUGGGCAACAACUGACGCUGAGGAGCGAAAGCGUGGGGAGCAAACGGG
rnacentral:rRNA from 1 species